rnacentral:ncRNA from 1 species
ACAGUACAAACUGAGCAGGCGAUGCACCAUAUUCAGCAUGGGGCCGGGUUGCUGAGAAAGCGACAGCAGAUGAUGACGAUACACAUCUGUGGGACAGU